CCUGCAUCCCGAAUAUAUUCAUGAGUAUGAAAUUAUGUCAAACUCAAACACAUAUUUAUAUCAAUUCUCUAUUAAUUAGUGAUAACUUCAAUGAUGAAGCAUUAGAAACUCUUUCUAAUCUUCAUCGCACUUUGGAACAAAAGAUUUUUUUAAGUUAUCUAGUGACGAGAAUUCACAGGAUGCCAUCUCCUCUUACUAAGAGUAAUCA
rnacentral:lncRNA from 1 species